CGACCUCGGAUCAGAC
rnacentral:rRNA from 1 species